rnacentral:rRNA from 1 species
GCUCAGCUAUAAACCCAGAUAUUUAAUACACAAAAAUAUCCGCCAGAGAACUACGAGCAAAACGCUUAAAACUCUAAGGACUUGACGGUACCUUAAACCCUCCUAGAGGAGCCUGUCCUAUAAUCGAUAAUCCACGAUCUACCUCACCAUCUCUUGCCAGUACCGCCUAUAUACCGCCGUCACCAGCCUACCCUAUGAAGGACAUAAAAGUAAGCAAAAUAACAAAACAGCUAACAAGUCAGGUCAAGGUGUAGCUUACUGAGAUGGAAGAAAUGGGCUACAUUUUCUAAACUAGAAAUAUUUUACGGAAAGAACUAUGAAACAAGUCUUAUAAGUAGGAUUUAGCAGUAAAUAAGGAUCAGAAUGCCCUAUUUAAGCCGGCCCUAAGGCACGC